AGUAUUUACUUGAUUAUUUUAUUGUUGUAGGCGGAGAAUUUAUAGUAGGGGACUUUUAGAACAUAAAAGUGGCCUACCGUUGCGUUUAUACAAGAGUCAGUAUUGCAUUGACAUUACAGGUUUGCAGAUGCAUUGCAUUGGGAAUCUGGAAUGGAGAGGCUUAUACUUAGUAUAGUUGAAGUUGUUUUCGUAGGGACAUCUUUACUUAAGUUUGAGAUUUUUAGUUGGUGUGCUUUAGUUUCGAAACAGUUGUCAUUUAUUUCAUAAGUUUAAUAAAGUUGAUUUUAUUUUAGUAA